rnacentral:rRNA from 1 species
AGAGUUUGAUCAUGGCUCAGAUUGAACGCUGGCGGCAGGCCUAACACAUGCAAGUCGAGCGGUAGCACAGAGAGCUUGCUCUCGGGUGACGAGCGGCGGACGGGUGAGUAAUGUCUGGGAAACUGCCUGAUGGAGGGGGAUAACUACUGGAAACGGUAGCUAAUACCGCAUAAUGUCGCAAGACCAAAGUGGGGGACCUUCGGGCCUCAUGCCAUCAGAUGUGCCCAGAUGGGAUUAGCUAGUAGGUGGGGUAAUGGCUCACCUAGGCGACGAUCCCUAGCUGGUCUGAGAGGAUGACCAGCCACACUGGAACUGAGACACGGUCCAGACUCCUACGGGAGGCAGCAGUGGGGAAUAUUGCACAAUGGGCGCAAGCCUGAUGCAGCCAUGCCGCGUGUGUGAAGAAGGCCUUCGGGUUGUAAAGCACUUUCAGCGGGGAGGAAGGCGUUAAGGUUAAUAACCUUGGCGAUUGACGUUACCCGCAGAAGAAGCACCGGCUAACUCCGUGCCAGCAGCCGCGGUAAUACGGAGGGUGCAAGCGUUAAUCGGAAUUACUGGGCGUAAAGCGCACGCAGGCGGUCUGUCAAGUCGGAUGUGAAAUCCCCGGGCUUAACCUGGGAACUGCAUUCGAAACUGGCAGGCUAGAGUCUUGUAGAGGGGGGUAGAAUUCCAGGUGUAGCGGUGAAAUGCGUAGAGAUCUGGAGGAAUACCGGUGGCGAAGGCGGCCCCCUGGACAAAGACUGACGCUCAGGUGCGAAAGCGUGGGGAGCAAACAGGAUUAGAUACCCUGGUAGUCCACGCCGUAAACGAUGUCGAUUUGGAGGUUGUGCCCUUGAGGCGUGGCUUCCGGAGCUAACGCGUUAAAUCGACCGCCUGGGGAGUACGGCCGCAAGGUUAAAACUCAAAUGAAUUGACGGGGGCCCGCACAAGCGGUGGAGCAUGUGGUUUAAUUCGAUGCAACGCGAAGAACCUUACCUGGUCUUGACAUCCACAGAACUUUCCAGAGAUGGAUUGGUGCCUUCGGGAACUGUGAGACAGGUGCUGCAUGGCUGUCGUCAGCUCGUGUUGUGAAAUGUUGGGUUAAGUCCCGCAACGAGCGCAACCCUUAUCCUUUGUUGCCAGCGGUUAGGCCGGGAACUCAAAGGAGACUGCCAGUGAUAAACUGGAGGAAGGUGGGGAUGACGUCAAGUCAUCAUGGCCCUUACGACCAGGGCUACACACGUGCUACAAUGGCAUAUACAAAGAGAAGCGACCUCGCGAGAGCAAGCGGACCUCAUAAAGUAUGUCGUAGUCCGGAUUGGAGUCUGCAACUCGACUCCAUGAAGUCGGAAUCGCUAGUAAUCGUAGAUCAGAAUGCUACGGUGAAUACGUUCCCGGGCCUUGUACACACCGCCCGUCACACCAUGGGAGUGGGUUGCAAAAGAAGUAGGUAGCUUAACCUUCGGGAGGGCGCUUACCACUUUGUGAUUCAUGACUGGGGUGAAGUCGUAACAAGGUAACCGUAGGGGAACCUGCGGUUGGAUCACCU